rnacentral:rRNA from 1 species
GACGAACGCUGGCGGCGUGCCUAAUACAUGCAAGUAGAACGCAGUUGCGAACGGGUGAGUAACGCGUAGGUAACUGCCUCAUAGCGGGGGAUAACUAUUGGAAACGAUAGCUAAUACCGCAUACUGUGAGCAGGACCUGCGUUGUUUUAGCUAGUUGGUGAGGUAAAGGCUCACCAAGGCGGCGAUACAUAGCCGUCCUGAGAGGGUGUACGGCCACAAUGGGACUUGGACAUGGCCCCGACUCCUACGGGAGGCAGCAGUAGGGAAUCUUCGGCAAUGGACGGAAGGCUGACCGGUCCACGCCGCGUGAGUGAAGAAGGUUUUCGGAUCGUAAAGCUCUGUUGUUAGAGAAGCGGUAACUACCCAGAAAGGUACGGCUAACUACGUGCCAGCAGCCGCGGUAAUUC